UAAAACUGAUGCCUGAUUGUUAUACUGCAAAGGUGCAUUUACUAAUUCCAAAGUGUAGAAAGAAGACAGCUACCUAGUACUCUCAUGUUACCAAUUUUGAAAGGCAGACUUUGCCUGCUUAUAUUCAAAUUUUUUCAAGGAGAAUUUAAACAAUAUUUUUACGAGUUUUUGUAUCAGUCUUUUCAUUGGCAAUGAACAGUUAUUAUUACCCAAAUUCCAGAAUUUUUAAGGCACCUGAACAGUUUUUGAGUUAUCAAUUUACCACAUGUAUAUAUUAUCAUUUUAUAUUAGAUUUUAAACUUUCAAACUGCAAUUGAUUUUUAGGUCUGGCUGACCAUCAGGGUAGCCUUGUUCACAAAGUCUUGCCAACAUUACGGAGAACCAGAUGGGCAUUUUGUCUUAUUACUAGUAUUUUGUUUGGUGACGUAUAAUUAUUGGGAUAAUUUAUUGACUGCAUAUCAAAUGUUUUUUUAGUACAUAAGAUUGUAUGUAACAUCAGGAACCCUGUAUGGUAUGGCAUUGUUAAUUGCCCGUUCUGUGGGAGCUGGUUGGUAUUCAGCCAUUUCACCAGUUUGUAAAGAAACUGACAGGACUGAAAUUUUACAUUUAAAGUAAAAUAACUUGUACAUUGUAAUUAAUUUUUUUUUUUUUUGUAUAUAAACUUUGACAAAAUAUGUUUUGAAAAAUAUGAAAUAUUUAAAAAAAAAAUUUGCAUUUGUUUGAAACUGCUGUAUCAUUGGUACAUAAAUAUUUACAUAACAAUGCCAAAGAUAUAAGCUAUGUAUCCAGUUGAUUUAUUGCAAGUAGAUUUCUCUGCAAUGUUCCCCAUCAUCCAUAAACCAGUUGAUUAGGAUUAAUAUUCAAAUUCUUGGUAAGUUCCUUACUGUAUUUUUUUAUUAUUGAUGAAAAGCUGUAGAGUAUGGACUGUACUGUUGGGGCGCCUGACUUAUAUACUGCCAGGGCUGUAACCGGACACUAAUGACAGGACACACCUGUCACAGGUAACACACCUGUUGCCCACACCUUAGCUGGGUAGUGUUCCUUUUUUUCUAAUUUUAUUAGAAUAUGUGAUCUGUGAUAUUUAUUACCUAUAUAAAUGUUGUGUUGUUUACAAAAUAAGAUUGAAAAAAUGUACUGGUAUAGUGUUUUUCUAUCUGACAUAGUGUGAAAUGAAAGUAUUUGCAUAAUAUAAGGGGGUUGUGCUACUCUACAUGUUCUUGCUAUUUUUUCUGUAUACGCUUUUAUCUUGUUAUAUUGCUCCUUCCAUGUC
rnacentral:misc_RNA from 1 species